GAGUUUGAUCCUGGCUCAGAACGAACGCUGGCGGCGUGCCUAACACAUGCAAGUCGAACGUGAUCCAGAGCUUGCUCUGGUGAAAGUGGCGCACGGGUGAGUAACGCGUGGAUAACCUACCCUGGUAUCCGGGAUAACAUUCCGAAAGGGGUGCUAAUACCGGAUAAGCCCACGGGCUCUUUGGAGCUUGCGGGAAAAGGUGGCCUCUAUUUAUAAGCUACUGUAUCAGGAUGGGUCCGCGUACCAUUAGCUAGUUGGCGGUGUAACGGACCACCAAGGCGACGAUGGUUAGCUGGUCUGAGAGGAUGAUCAGCCACACUGGAACUGAGACACGGUCCAGACUCCUACGGGAGGCAGCAGUGGGGAACUUUGCGCAAGGGGGGAAACCCUGACGCAGCAACGCCGCGUGAGUGAUGAAGGCCUUUGGGUCGUAAAGCUCUGUCAGAGGGGAAGAAAUGAUAUAGUGCUAAUACCACUUUAUCUUGACGGUACCCUCAAAGGAAGCACCGGCUAACUCCGUGCCAGCAGCCGCGGUAAUAC
rnacentral:rRNA from 1 species